GACAGAGGGUGCAAACGUUGUUCGGAAUUACUGGGUUUAAAGGGUGCGUAGGAGGGCAGGUAAGUCAGUGGUGAAAUCCCCGAGCUUAACUUGGGAACUGCCGUUGAUACUAUCUGUCUUGAAUAUUGUGGAGGUGAGCGGAAUAUGUCAUGUAGCGGUGAAAUGCUUAGAUAUGACAUAGAACACCAAUUGCGAAGGCAGCUCGCUACACAUAUAUUGACUCUGAGGCACGAAAGCGUGGGGAUCAAACAGG
rnacentral:rRNA from 1 species